UGGGGAAUAUUGGACAAUGGGCGCAAGCCUGAUCCAGCAAUGCCGCGUGUGUGAAGAAGGCCUUCGGGUUGUAAAGCACUUUUAUCAGGAGCGAAACGCUGUCGGCUAAUACCCGGCGGAACUGACGGUACCUGAGGAAUAAGCACCGGCUAACUUCGUGCCAGCAGCCGCGGUAAUACGAAGGGUGCAAGCGUUAAUCGGAAUUACUGGGCGUAAAGCGUGCGUAGGCGGUUUCUUAAGUCUGCUGUGAAAUCCCCGGGCUCAACCUGGGAAUGGCAGUGGAUACUGGGAGGCUAGAGUGUGUCAGAGGGUGGUGGAAUUCCCGGUGUAGUGGUGAAAUGCGUAGAGAUCGGGAGGAACAUCAGUGGCGAAGGCGGCCACCUGGGACAACACUGACGCUGAGGCACGAAAGCGUGGGGAGCAAACAGGAUUAGGAUACCCUGGUAGUCCACGCCCUAAACGAUGCGAACUGGAUGUUGGUCUCAACUCGGAGAUCAGUGUCGAAGCUAACGCGUUAAGUUCGCCGCCUGGGGAGUACGGUCGCAAGACUGAAACUCAAAGGAAUUGACGGGGUCAUAGCUGUUUCCUG
rnacentral:rRNA from 1 species